UGGGGAAUUUUGGACAAUGGGCGAAAGCCUGAUCCAGCAAUGCCGCGUGUGUGAAGAAGGCCUUCGGGUUGUAAAGCACUUUUGUCCGGAAAGAAAUCCUUGGCUCUAAUACAGUCGGGGGAUGACGGUACCGGAAGAAUAAGCACCGGCUAACUACGUGCCAGCAGCCGCGGUAAUACGUAGGGUGCAAGCGUUAAUCGGAAUUACUGGGCGUAAAGCGUGCGCAGGCGGUUUGCUAAGACCGAUGUGAAAUCCCCGGGCUAACCUGGGAACUGCAUUGGUGACUGGCAGGCUAGAGUAUGGCAGAGGGGGGUAGAAUUCCACGUGUAGCAGUGAAAUGCGUAGAGAUGUGGAGGAAUACCGAUGGCGAAGGCAGCCCCCUGGGCCAAUACUGACGCUCAUGCACGAAAGCGUGGGGAGCAAACAGGAUUAGAUACCCUGGUAGUCCACGCCCUAAACGAUGUCAACUAGUUGUUGGGGAUUCAUUUCCUUAGUAACGUAGCUAACGCGUGAAGUUGACCGCCUGGGGAGUACGGUCGCAAGAUUAAAACUCAAAGGAAUUGACGGGGUCAUAGCUUUUCC
rnacentral:rRNA from 1 species